AAUGGUAGGAAAAAUAAUUUCACUUUAAUUAUGUAUUAGAAAAUCAGUAAUCUUAAAUUAGGAUGCAUCAAUGGAGAAGAAGGCAAUUGUAAUCACAAUACAAUAAUAGAUCUACAAAUACCAAGCAAUACAUUAAAUCAAAAAUCUCAGUAACACUGUUAUUAUGUACUCCCUGUGGUCUUAUUAAUGUCAGCUUAUUGAUAGCUCGAUUACCAGUCAAAUAGUUUCGAUGUUUUCUAUACUAUGAAGAAAAUUUGAUCUGAUUAGAUUAAUUCAGAUGUAAAUUUAUGUUAUACGGUAAGAUAUUUUUAAACAAACCAAGAAAGUUCUCUUCAGACAAGUUCUGGUCUGAAAUUGCAAAUAUUAACG